rnacentral:rRNA from 1 species
ACUGAGACAGGUGCUGCAUGGCUGUCGUCAGCUCGUGUUGUGAAAUGUUGGGUUAAGUCCCGCAACGAGCGCAACCCUUAUCCUUUGUUGCCAGCGAUUCGGUCGGGAACUCAAAGGAGACUGCCGGUGAUAAACCGGAGGAAGGUGGGGAUGACGUCAAGUCAUCAUGGCCCUUACGAGUAGGGCUACACACGUGCUACAAUGGCGCAUACAAAGAGAAGCGACCUCGCGAGAGCAAGCGGACCUCAUAAAGUGCGUCGUAGUCCGGAUCGGAGUCUGCAACUCGACUCCGUGAAGUCGGAAUCGCUAGUAAUCGUGGAUCAGAAUGCCACGGUGAAUACGUUCCCGGGCCUUGUACACACCGCCCGUCACACCAUGGGAGUGGGUUGCAAAAGAAGUAGGUAGCUUAACCUUCGGGAGGGCGCUACC